rnacentral:tRNA from 1 species
UGGCUGAGCGGUAAAGCGCUUGGCUUCUGAACCACGGGUCCCGGGUUCGAAUCCUGG